UCCUUAUUUUCUACGACAUCA
rnacentral:piRNA from 1 species